CCUACGGGAGGCAGCAGUGGGGAAUAUUGGACAAUGGGGGCAACCCUGAUCCAGCCAUGCCGCGUGUGUGAAGAAGGCUUUCGGGUUGUAAAGCACUUUCAGUGGGGAAGAAGGCCUGAGGGUUAAUAACCCUGGGGGAGGACAUCACCCACAGAAGAAGCACCGGCUAACUCCGUGCCAGCAGCCGCGGUAAUACGGAGGGUGCAAGCGUUAAUCGGAAUUACUGGGCGUAAAGCGCGCGUAGGCGGCGUGUCACGCCGGGUGUGAAAGCCCCGGGCUCAACCUGGGAACGGCAUCCGGAACGGGCAGGCUAGAGUGCAGGAGAGGAAGGUAGAAUUCCCGGUGUAGCGGUGAAAUGCGUAGAGAUCGGGAGGAAUACCAGUGGCGAAGGCGGCCUUCUGGCCUGACACUGACGCUGAGGUGCGAAAGCGUGGGUAGCAAACAGGAUUAGAUACCCUGGUAGUCCACGCCGUAAACGAUGUCGACUAGCCGUUGGGUCCCUUGAGGACUUAGUGGCGCAGUUAACGCGAUAAGUCGACCGCCUGGGGAGUACGGCCGCAAGGUUAAAACUCAAAUGAAUUGACGGGGGCCCGCACAAGCGGUGGAGCAUGUGGUUUAAUUCGAUGCAACGCGAAGAACCUUAC
rnacentral:rRNA from 1 species